CAAUGCAACUGCGAUGGGUGGGGGAUUGAGGUUUUUGUCGGUUAGCAUCAGUUUGUUUUCUUCGGAACUCAACAAAUCCUCAGAAGUUGCUUGUUUGGUAUUAUAGUGUUAUGAGGCGUCUAUCUUGCGCUGAAAAUCGGUUUGUUUUUAGAAAAUGUUUCUUAUUAACGGCUUAACGCGUUGGCGACUAUCACUGAGUUUUCUAAUUUCAGAAAGAUACAUUAGUAAUACUAAUUUUUCAACGACGAUGUGCAGUCCUAUCUACAGAAUAAUUGUAACGUUUGCUUGACAGUGUCACGAAAACUAGAUAGUCAAUGAACUAAGCAAUCUAAUUUAGCGUAGUAGGCGAACGCCCAUGUUAUGGCCUGUUUUUGUGUACUACUCUGAUAUUGAAUCCUUUGCUUACGUUAAUAUUCUGUUAUUGCAGGCGAUGUACCUAUAGAACUGUAUUGAAAAAAUCAGAAGUUAGUUGGAUAUCUAUGCUUUUCAAAACAAUUUGAAUUUGCUUUUGACCUGUAAAAAAAAGUAAUUAACAUACUAUACUAUAUUUUCCUUAUUCACUUUCCAUUAGGAAUAUAGCUGAUGACUCCUGGGACUUGUAUCCAGCUCCUUUUCUCCAUAGCUCAUGUAUCUCUCUCCAGCCAAGUGUCUCUCAUCUCCUCUGCACCAUGAGCUGUAUUAUAACACUCCUGUGCGGGACAUGACUGAAACCCUGGCGCGGUCAAACAGAAUAAGCAGAAACUGCACUGCAGUGGUGAUGAAUUCCACAGUACAGGAUCAUCAGCUUCGAGCAGUGUCCAGAGCAGCCAUGAGCUGUGAGCUCAGCACCAUUAACAACUCGGUGAUUCCUAUGAAACGAGUAACUGACACACCAGCAAAAGUCUUUGCCAGACUGAAAGCCAAAGUUCAGAGGCAGAGCUCAGAAGAGCACAGAGAAGUCAAUGUCAUACCCAGACAGCUGGAUAGGGGUGUCUCGUUGUCCACAAAUAUGCAGCAGCCACCAGUUGAUGAUGCCCCAUCAGAAGGACGGGAUACGUAUGUGCUGUCACUUUCACCUCCCGAGUCCAUGAGCAAAAUCUCAGAAUUAGAAGAUCCCCAAAUGACAUCACAACUUGAUAUAGAAGGAGACCAUAACCCUGACUUGGUUCACAAACCUGUUAUUGCGCUUGAAAAGAUGCUCACUGAAACCUUCACCCAGGCUCAGCAAAAGAAAAUUGGAAUUAAUGGCACCAGCAAGUCCACAAAUCUAAAACAAGAAGCAUAUGUUUUACUGGAGCGCAUGCCUGACGCCUUACCUGCUCAGCCAGGACCUGCAAAGCCAAUCCAGUUAAUGAAUCGUGUCAGAAAUAGAAGUUAUCAUGGUGUGUUUGGUGAGAUGAGUGUAAAGGACGAAUCAGAAGGUGCAGUAGAUGAUGACUGCAAUAGGGUGAAUACACUUCAGACAUUGGACAUUGCUGCCCGAAGCCAGCCAGAGCCACAAAGACCAGAGAAAAUGUCUAAUAGGCAGUGUGAGCAUUUAGACGCACCACCUCGGACGCAUCCUAAUCUGAUGGAGGAUUCUCUCCUGCAGCUAUCACCCCGCAUCUCCAUCCCCCGGAAGCAAAUGGCAGCAGUUAAGGCCAAACAGCAGACUAAAGAAAUAGAUCAAGCUCUGGAUGGAAGUACGAAUGUGAAUGGGAUUCAGUUAAGAGAUUGGAUCUUGAAACUACACAACAAAGAACUUAUUGUUGAUGGCAUACGAAUAGACAGCAAGAUCCCUUGGCACAGUAGUUGCAUCACUGAGCGAGUUUCAAGUAACAUAGUUAAGACUGCAUCUGGGGGAACCUAUGUUCUUGUUGGAAAGAUGUCACACUACCACACUACAUCAUUUCCUUCAUGGUUUUUGAAGAAGUUUCUUUUUGGCUUUCCGGAAAUGUGGAAGGAGUACCUGAAUAAAUUCUUGGCUGAUAAUGAUGGAAGUGGAAAAAAUCGACAGAGGAACAAGUCAGCACCAUGUGAACCACAAAAGAAACGGCCCUCCAGAAAACAAAUAUCCAAACAACUUAAGUCAAAGGACCAGGUGACACCUGUUAGUUCUGCAGGCAGUGUGCAGCCUCACAGUGCUCCAGUUUCCCGCAGUGGCCGUGUCAUUAAACCUCCUCUGGAGUAUUGGAGAGGAGGCAGGAUCACUGUAGGGCCCGAUAUGAAUGUUACGCCAAAAACAAGACCAGUGGUACGUUUAAAGCCACUAAAAUUGCCCAAAGAACAGCCAGUCUACAAAUCUGAAAUGCAAAACAGCAAUGAUGAGGAUACUUUGGCAUCAAGGAGACGUGUUAAACAACAUAAGUCUUGGAGGACUGAGGGAACCAAAGCAUGGGAAAAUGCUUCACAGAAGAACUCUCAUGAUGCAGUUUUCAAUUCAGACUCUGGAUCAGAAAAAGCCGCUGCCAAACAGCUUUCUCCUCAGCAAGCACAGUCUGAGCAAAUGUACCUCAGGAGGGGACGGUCAUAUUCUAGAGUGAGAAACUCGACGGACUCGGAGUCUGAGGUGUUCAAGUUUGGUCCGUAUUGUACUUCAGAUGAAGAUGGUGUUUCUGCAUUCCAGGCCCCUGAGGGAAAAAUUCAAACACGGCUCAACCGAAAGCAUCUGCAGAGAGUAGUUCAGAGGGAGAAGCGCUCCACUCCAUGCUCAGACUCUGACACCAGUUCCACACAAUCUCAAGUUCAGAAAAGUGCAGAUUCAGAUCACUUAUUUACACCACCAGUGCCUAGAAAAGGAUGCAGAAGAAAAGCCUUGGUGCAGAAAAGCAAACUAGUUCCACCGAGUGUUACCAUGUCUGAGAUUGAGGACUCUCGUUUCUCUACGCAACAGGGUAAAGUGACAAAUAAAAAGAACACACGGAGGCAAAAGAAGGUUCCACAGAAUUAUAACAAUUAUGUAAAGUCCGAUGCUGGUGAUGAAAGUCUCCCUUCAGAGCUGAUUAGAGAAGAUAAAAGCAAGAAUUCAAAGCCUACUCUGAAGAGGACAAGACAAAGGGAACACGCUGGAGCUUCUGAAAGGACAACGAAUGGACAUGCCCUCCUGGUUGAUAAACAUCCUGAACAAUCUGAAAAGACAGAUAAUCCUCAGUUUCAUGUGUCGGAUAACACUGGCAGGAAACCAAAGUCAUCAGUAAGCAGAAGAAACAAGAAGGAGCAAACUGCAAAGCACCCUGAGAUCGAACAAGAUGCGCUAGAAGGAGCAUGGACCGAUAAAGAGUUGCAUAAACUUAAUGAGGCUGUGAACUCAUUACCCAAGCACAAGAAUGGUUACUGGGUAAAUGUCUCACUGGUCGUUGGCACACGUUCAGCUGAGGAGUGCCAGAAACAGUACACUGCACUUUACCAAACUCAUGGACGAUCCAAAGGAAGACAUAAGGCAAAGACUUCUAAAACAGAUGAACCAGCAAAAGAAAUGGCUCCAAUUACUGCUAAGGUUGGAACACUCAAGAGGAAGAAACAGAUGUGGAACUUUUUGGAUCAUAUGUCCAAAGAUGAUCAUGAUGACAUAUUUGCCGGCUCACCAAUGCGCAGUAAACAAAUCAAGUUGCCUGUAUGGUCAACAAAUGGAGAUGAGCCAGAUUUUGGCCAUCUACAAAAUCCACAAACUCCCAGCUCAACCAUGUUUUCUUCGGUGAAAACACCUCAGUGUUUGCACAUUACCCCAGGAAUGCUGCACUCUAUCAACAGGGACAACAAUGAUAAGUAUAUUUACCACCUACAGAAGGUAAAAAGGCAAGGCAACCAUGGAAGAAAAGGCAGCCCUAAGGUACGUGUGACUUUACAAAUGACCCAUGCUAACUGUUUUUGUUUGUUUAUUUAUUUGAUUGAUAGAUCCCCCCGGUCACUUGCCAAAACCCACCCACCGGCCUGCUUAUACAACAGCUACCAACUGGGGAGGGUGAAGACUCACACAUGCUUCCUCCAAGCAGGGGUUACAUUAAAUCAUUAUCUGUUACAUUAACAGACAGGGUUGCAAAAAUUUUCAGUCUUUUUAUCUGCCAUUUCCUAUUUAUUUGCCAGUUCAACAAUUGACACCUUUCUCCAGUGAUGGUCUUUUGAUAUGCUGUCUUGCAUAGCAGCGGCCCCGUUUCCACUUUUAACAUUGUUUAUGUACUUGUAUGCAUGAAUGAUAGCAAAUCCCAACUGUGAUCUAAUGGUAUACUCCAGAUGAAGCUUAGCGAAAUCCUGUACAGACUGAUUUACUGCUGAGUUUUUUGUGAUUGUUGCAGGCAAAAAUGCUUGAUUUUCUGCAGCUUUUCUCAAAAGUUUUUUUUUUUGCAGGAAAAGCUGCUUGAAUUGUUGAAAUUGUUUUGCACGGUCUUUCACAGUGAUGUACUCCUGUUUGACGCACAUGAAUCGAAAAGGACUUAUGAAUAUGGAUUGUGAUGAUGUCACAUGACACCUCUUGGCCCAAAUCUGCGAUAAUUUUGAAAAAUUGCAAGCUCCUGUGUAUAUCACGGUUUCUCCUUGAUUUUGUAUUAAUUUCUGCUAUUGCAAAGUUUAGUUUCUUAAUGAAUGGCAUGUCCAUUUUAAAGGUUUAUUGUUAAGAUUUAAUGUUGUUUCCUUUAUCGCAUAUGUUAUAGCCAUGAUAAACAGUCACUCCCUCACCAGCCUUUCUCUCUCUCUCUCCCUCUCUGUCUCUCUCUCUCACUCAAAAACGUAGCUUGUCAUUUCACAGAGAAACCAAAUGUCUUCCACCCUAAAGACUUUCCUGCAUUGGGAAACUUUACAAAGUACUGUGACUGUUACAAAGCGCUGACAACUGAGACUCCUUUCAUAAAUGUUAACUAAAUGUCCUUACAAAAAACAUCUCAUCAAUGUUAAACAAUGUAUGUAAUAAAUAAAUAACAAACAUUUAUUAUUAGUCUUAGAUUAUGUGGCGCAUCUGCCAUAUAAGCCACUGUGUGUGAGCUGUUACUAUAGAAAUAAUAAUAAUAAUGUAUUAGAAUAAGUGCAUAAAUAGAAACAUAUCGAUCAUGUUACAGCUGAAUCUACAACUUCAAAAUAAUGCAUAUCUUCUGACCGAUCCGAUUCGAGAACUCAACCACACGCUGGUAUAUAAUAUUUUAAUGUAUAUACAAGCUAGCUCAAAUAUCUCAACGAGAAAUAGCUGUAUGUUUUUUUUUGUUUGUUUGUUUGUUUUUUUUAAUAGAUUGAAUGUCUUACUUUAUCGAUCAGAAUGAUAGAUGGCCUUCAAACAUUUCCUUCAACGCGUUUAAAAUUCUGUGAAUGACACCCCCCCCCCCCCCCCCCAGAGACUCGUUCAGCCAGCCAGCUGUGUACAAAGCUGAAUAGAAUUUUUAUGUUGUACUUUUUGAUCUCGUCUUUAUGUUGUCUUAUUUAACAGUAAUGCUUUUCCGCAGGACAAGUUCACACCUGUUCCAUCAGUAAGGAAAACAAAGAAGAGAUGUGUGGCUGAAGAUGAUAACUUUGUUGUUUGGAACAUGCUCUCUGACAAGGAC